CCCAGGACAGAAAACUCCUUUUGAUUUCUCCUCUCUUGAUGUCUUUGCUGUUCUCUCUGUAGGUGACAGCCUCAUGAACUGAUCUCUCCAGCAUCACCACUCAAUGGAUGACAAAUGGGAAUGCAUCCUCACCAGCAGUUGCUGAACUCUGGGACUGCACUAUCACAAACUCUUCACAUAAAAGCCUCAGCUCCAGGGAAGCACCCAGAGACAAAACUGAAGACUCCAAAGAACAGUCUACGAGAAACACCGCAAGAGCUUGCACAAGGUUGGGAAUGAAUCCAGCACUACGUACACAGUGUCCGGCCUUUACAGAGAGCUGCGGUGUUCACUCAGCACCAAUUUUGCAAAGCCCAGACAAGUGUACAGUGUUCCUGUGGAGGAGCGCAUGGAUGGCCUGUGCAUGGAGUUCAGCACUCUCUGUGGUGGAGGUGGCAACUGAAAGAAGAGCGUUUCAGCAGAAGUCAUGACAAGCCAGGGUGCACUCAGCAGGACUUUCCUGUGCAUCUGUAGGGGUUAUUAACCCUCCAUGGGAAAAGGAGACACCAGUAGCUUCGUCUACAGAAGAAGGAAAAGAUGGACUCGGGUAUUUAAUUACCAACUGAGAACUGGCUGUUGGAAGCUGAUGGGUUGGACAGUGUCAGUAGGGCAGAAGAGAGCAACGUAGUCAUUGAAACUCAUGAGACAUUCUGGAGAGCUAUGAGACAAAAGACCUGAAUCACAGGUGGUUGUGAACUGUUUGCGUAGAGGCUGGACUAUCUCACAGCAUCUUUCAGCCUGCCAUGCAGGCUAUAUCUUGCUUGGGAGGGGAGGUUGCGGGGAGGUAGUCUGUUACAGGCUGUAAUAUUGUAGUUCAAAGCAGUAGCUGUUCAUGCGAGUUGGUGCUAACAGCCUCAUGAAAGGUCACAGAUGCCUCUGCCAUACACAAAACUGUCCUCACUUCCUUAUUUGCUCAUGUGCAUUUUACUACAGACUCCUCUGAGCUGUAAGGCCCUACACAGAGCUCUGCUCGGGAAAACCGCUGAGAGCAGCUCUCUGGAGAUGUUUGCUGUGUGU
rnacentral:lncRNA from 1 species